UACAGAGGGUGCGAGCGUUAAUCGGAAUUACUGGGCGUAAAGGGCGCGUAGGCGGUUAUUUAAGUUAGAUGUGAAAUCCCUGGGCUUAACCUAGGAACUGCAUUUAAUACUGAGUAACUGGAGUGCGGUAGAGGAUAGUGGAAUUUCCGGUGUAGCGGUGAAAUGCGUAGAUAUCGGAAGGAACACCAGUGGCGAAGGCGACUAUCUGGACUGACACUGACGCUGAGGCGCGAGAGCGUGGGGAGCAAACAGG
rnacentral:rRNA from 1 species